rnacentral:sRNA from 1 species
GAGGUCGCAGUGACAGCGGCGGGCGAUCGGACCCAGGCUGCCCCGCCGUACCCGCCUGCGUCCCGCGCUCCCGCCCCAGCAUGACAGCCCCGGCGGGUCCGCGCGGCUCAGAGACCGAGCGGCUUCUGACCCCCAACCCCGGGUAUGGGACCCAGGCGGGGCCUUCGCCGGCCCCUCCGACACCCCCAGAAGAGGAAGACCUUCGCCGUCGUCUCAAAUACUUUUUCAUGAGUCCCUGCGACAAGUUUCGAGCCAAGGGCCGCAAGCCCUGCAAGCUGAUGCUGCAAGUGGUCAAGAUCCUGGUGGUCACGGUGCAGCUCAUCCUGUUUGGGCUCAGUAAUCAGCUGGCUGUGACAUUCCGGGAAGAGAACACCAUCGCCUUCCGACACCUCUUCCUGCUGGGCUACUCGGACGGAGCAGAUGACACCUUCGCAGCCUACACGCGGGAGCAGCUGUACCAGGCCAUCUUCCAUGCUGUGGACCAGUACCUGGCGUUGCCUGACGUGUCACUGGGCCGGUAUGCGUAUGUCCGUGGUGGGGGUGACCCUUGGACCAAUGGCUCAGGGCUUGCUCUCUGCCAGCGGUACUACCACCGAGGCCACGUGGACCCGGCCAACGACACAUUUGACAUUGAUCCGAUGGUGGUUACUGACUGCAUCCAGGUGGAUCCCCCCGAGCGGCCCCCUCCGCCCCCCAGCGACGAUCUCACCCUCUUGGAAAGCAGCUCCAGUUACAAGAACCUCACGCUCAAAUUCCACAAGUACUGCCUGCUCACUCGAGGGGGGCCCAGGGUGGGGGAGGCAGCACACUAGGCACUCUCACCCCAGCAACUACUUCCCUAAGGUGGGGACAGGGCCCCCCCGCCCGCGCUGGUGCCUGCUGGGUGAGCACUUCCCCUGCCAGCUGCAGAGUCAGCACGUGGCAGGGGACGCUGGCACUUGGGGCCGGAAGGGACCCGAAGACGCCCCUGACCCUCACCCGAGCCUCCUGCCUAGGCUGGUCAAUGUCACCAUCCACUUCCGGCUGAAGACCAUUAACCUCCAGAGCCUCAUCAAUAAUGAGAUCCCGGACUGCUAUACCUUCAGCGUCCUGAUCACGUUUGACAACAAAGCACACAGUGGGCGGAUCCCCAUCAGCCUGGAGACCCAGGCCCACAUCCAGGAGUGUAAGCACCCCAGUGUCUUCCAGCACGGAGACAACAGCUUCCGGCUCCUGUUUGACGUGGUGGUCAUCCUCACCUGCUCCCUGUCCUUCCUCCUCUGCGCCCGCUCACUCCUUCGAGGCUUCCUGCUGCAGAACGAGUUUGUGGGGUUCAUGUGGCGGCAGCGGGGACGGGUCAUCAGCCUGUGGGAGCGGCUGGAAUUUGUCAAUGGCUGGUACAUCCUGCUCGUCACCAGCGAUGUGCUCACCAUCUCGGGCACCAUCAUGAAGAUCGGCAUCGAGGCCAAGAACUUGGCGAGCUACGACGUCUGCAGCAUCCUCCUGGGCACCUCGACGCUGCUGGUGUGGGUGGGCGUGAUCCGCUACCUGACCUUCUUCCACAACUACAAUAUCCUCAUCGCCACACUGCGGGUGGCUCUGCCCAGCGUCAUGCGCUUCUGCUGCUGCGUGGCUGUCAUCUACCUGGGCUACUGCUUCUGUGGCUGGAUCGUGCUGGGGCCCUAUCAUGUGAAGUUCCGCUCGCUCUCCAUGGUGUCUGAGUGCCUGUUCUCGCUCAUCAACGGGGACGACAUGUUCGUGACGUUCGCCGCCAUGCAGGCGCAGCAGGGCCGCAGCAGCCUGGUGUGGCUCUUCUCCCAGCUCUACCUGUACUCCUUCAUCAGCCUCUUCAUCUACAUGGUGCUCAGCCUCUUCAUCGCGCUCAUCACCGGCGCCUACGACACCAUCAAGCAUCCCGGCGGCGCAGGCGCAGAGGACAGCGAGCUGCAGGCCUACAUCGCACAGUGCCAGGACAGCCCCACCUCCGGCAAGUUCCGCCGCGGGAGCGGCUCGGCCUGCAGCCUUCUCUGCUGUUGCGGAAGGGACCCCUCGGAGGAGCAUUCGCUGCUGGUGAAUUGAUUCGACCUGACUGCCGUUGGACCGUAGGCCCUGGACUGCAGAGACCCCCGCCCCCGACCCCGCUUAUUUAUUUUUAGGGUUUGCUUUUAAGGAUCGGCUCCCUGUCGCGCCCGAGGAGGGCCUGGACCUUUCGUGUCGGACCCUUGGGGGCGGGGAGACUGGGUGGGGAGGGUGUUGAAUAAAAGGGAAAAUAAA